rnacentral:tRNA from 1 species
GGGAAUGGAUGGCUACCUGGUGGGGCCCGCGGUCUUCAAAACCGUUGUGAGGCAGUGUUCCUGUCUCGGGUGGGUUCGAUUCCCACACAUUCCC